rnacentral:rRNA from 1 species
CCUAGGCGGAGGUGCGCAUGGCGUGCCCGUGCUUUGCAGCCUAGGUGUCGGUACCGGAGGAGGCGGGGGGUCUACCGCCGCCGGCGCGGCCUCUUAUCUGGAGGGGCGAGCGAGAAGCUGGAGGGGAGCCUGAAGAAGCUGAGCAUACAUGAGAAGGCCAGGGUGGGGCGGAACCGGGGAAGGGGUCGCCUCGGCAGGCUUGGGAGGUCCGGCCGCGGCCGCGGCAACGUCGUCGUCGUUGGCGGCCUCCGGCCCCCCAAGGCCACCUGCACAUUUUGGACGCGGCCGCUUAAGCUAAGUGACGUCCUCGUCGCGCUCGUGAAGUUCAGGCUAGAGGUGGCGGAGUUGCAAUUCGACUCACAACGACCAUUUAGAUAAUAGUUCCUUCUUCUGAACCUUUUUUAACUAAGACUAAGAGAUAAACUGCUAAACCUCCAUAGAUCACAUAGACCAAGACUCCUGCUUUCCCUUCUACACGGACGUAGCCUAGUGGCCGAGAGUCAAUUUCCGUUCCUUCUGAAGUCCUUCUUUGAAAAAAAAGUACCAGUAAGACCACUGUGUCAAAGAAAAACCUCUACGCAUGACAAGUUUCUUGUACUUCUUGGUAAAAAACUGACGUUUAGACCUUUUUACCUUUUAGUGCCCAGAUGUAGCAUACACGUACUUCUACUCUACUAUUUAUCUCACUUCGUCAACCGUACACUUGGAGCGUUACGUAGCGUAAACUCCUAGUAAUAUAAUUGUUCACCACCUGUAAAACGACCUACACAAAAACUACCUUUGUUUUAUAAUCGUUUAUUUUGAAAAGUGUCCAUACAACAUUCCCGUUUCCGACCUUUCUCCGUCAGACCUUUUCUACGAUGACCUUUCCAACGUGUGAGUCGCCCGAGGAGAGAAGCGGCGAUAUUGCUUCGUCGUAACUUUUUCCUUCAAGUUCUUAAUUAUCAAAGAACCUUCGGUAUGAAACUGCGGACACAAACACAGAUAUAUAUGCGAGGUAGUUUCUUGGCGGUCUACGAGAAACUACCCCUAUUCCGAGUUAGCCAUAACGUUCGUACACUAUAAGCAGGUGAGGGAAACUGACAAGUAGCCGGGUGGAACUUUCUUCGCUUUGCGCAUAUGUUAUUGGAUUGUGUCGAGAUAAUACUCUGCCUUACGAGAUAAUACCCACUUCAUAAUGGGGAACACCUUUUACACUGUUUCAAACACGUUUCAUGUCUUCGUUCCCUUCUUUAUUCACACCGGGGACUCCUUGGAUAAAACCUGAGUAGCUCAAGCGUACUUCGUUACCGGUAUGGUAGAUUAUUACGUUGUUGUGGAGAGGUACUUCGACGUUUCCGACCGUUACAACUUGUUUGAUACCUUAACGAGCUCGUCCCAAACCUAGGAACAUAGUUUCUACUUUCUCCUUUCUGUGGAAUGGACGACCGAAGUCUGUUUCUUCAGUCUUUAUGCAAGUCUUCUAAGUACCGCGAGUUGGAACUGUUUACCCUAACCGUACGACGACUCCACGGAUCACGUAAUUGUUUCCUUUACCUUCUUAGUGUUCGACGUUUUGUCCGUCUCUUCCUACGGUUCUUCUUUCGGUCUCGUUUCCUUGACUUCUUUGUUUUCUUCCGAUCUCUCUUCCUUUUCCUUUUCCUUUUCCUUUUUCUCUUCCGCGAUCGUCGCGUUAGUGUUGGACAACGAUUUCCGUAAAGUCAACCGGUUUACCCGUUUGGUUGACGAAGACACAGUCCGGACUUUGUAUUCUUAGGGGUCCGACAACGAGAAAGAUACGUCCUCCUUGCUCUGGCUUUUGAGCGACUGCUUUCUCUCUUUUCUCGUCGCCGUCGCCUUUCUUCCGAGCGCCGCGAUCGUCAAGUUAGUCCCGGGAGCUGGCGCCGCCCGUCGAGGUGCGUCUGUUGUUGUCGCCGUUUGCUGCGACGUACAAGUACGACAAAGAGUAGGGACCGUCCGUUCCAUGGUAAGGUAUCCAUGUCGAUGUUCAUGACGUCGUGAUGUACAUACGUAGAGGUAAGUCUUUACGACCUUCUACUGACUCGAAAAACAACAGCACCUCUUUGUAUGGCUCUAAAACACCAUGGAAGUUAAAAUUACUUGAUCAGGCCUCGACCGGGUAGACGGUCAAAAACGAAAUACAAAAAUGCGGUAGACUUGAGCAUCACCAAAAGACCAAGACUCUAGUGUACGGUUCCCCCAAGCACGCACCAACGACCCAUGGAUGUGCACUCGAAAACGGCUUUACGGUCGGGGCUUGUGUGAUCCGUCCCGAGGAGCUGGCCGGGGGACGAAAAGUGCGUAGCAGCACCGAUGUUUUGGAGGCUCGAAAAAGCGGCUAAACACUGGCCGCGCUGCCAUUGCCGUCUCGUGUGGGUCACCUACGGUCACGGGCACUGGAGCGGUACCCGUAGGGGGGAAACCACGUUUUCCGUACCGACCGUCACUAGGUACCACAGGAGCCGUAGCCGGUUGGUGAACCUGUUGUUACCGGAGAGGCACACGUACGUACUAGCGCCGCUGCCGUGUGCACUUUCGUGGGCGAGUGCCGAGUGCAACUGUAGGAGCACCGGGCCUCGCCUCAAAAAUAUAGCCGCGACCUGCCGCUGCGGCGGUUGUAAAGCUCGUGGACUCAAGAACGACGGUAGGUCAUCGAUCGACGCCCUACAGCCCUCGCCUCGGUAGCAGCCGCCGCCGCCCCCGCCCCCGCCCCCGCCCCCGCCCGUUACCGGUCGUGCGCCGUCACCUGUAGGCCCGCCGCCGCGUCGUCGGGCUCCUCGGCUCCGUCUGCAGGUACUCGCCCGGCGAGUUGGAGGCCUCGCUGGCCUCCGGCGGCGGCCGCGUCUCCCGGAAGUCGGCCGUCCACAGGGACCCGUCGCCGCAGCGCCACUACCCGUACCUGUCUCCGCCCUCCUUGCCGCCGUCCGGGCCCGUCGCGCGCGAGGGCGCGUCGCCGUUCUCGGAGCCGCACGAGUUGGUGUCGCCGCCGGAGCCGGGCCUGCCGCGGCGCGCGUCCCCGCCGCUGAAGUCGUACAAGGCCUGGUUCAGGUGCGAGUCGUUCGUCUUGAGGUACGACGGCAGCUCCUAGUUCCUCCUCGAGCUGCCGCAGCUGGACCUGGUGCGGCUCCCGGUCGGGCGGCCGUCCGGGCGGCUGCACCUGGGAGAGUUGUUCUCGCAGGGACGGCCGGCGAUGAAGCGGCGCGAGGCGCCGGGGCUCGAGCUGCUUCAGGCGCUGAUGCUCCUGUAGGACGACGGGUUCCUGCUCCACACCGGCAAGGACGACGCCAAGGGCUAGCCGACGAAGCCCCAGACGGACCCCGAGCCGUCGGUCCGGUAGGACACCCCGCGCGACCGCCGCUCGGGCCGCUACCCCAAGGAGGCCCACUGCGGCUACUAGUUGCAGCGGCACACCGACGACCGCUGCCGCCACGACCACCGGUGCAGGCAGUGGAUGCGCGAGUUCACGCAGAAGAUGAAGCUCCGGUAGGCCGCGCUCAAGAAGGUGGGCCACGCGCAGUUGAAGAAGAAGUGCGGCAGGUAGCGGCGGUACAAGGAGCGGUAGCCGGAGGGGGCGCGGAAGCGCGGCCGCUCCGACGUGGGCCGGCACACCACGCGCAAGCACCGCGGCGACAAGCGCGACCUCGAGUUCUAGAUGCCCGUCACCGACAGCCCGCCGUUCGCCUCCGACACGUUCCACCGGUUGGGCAGCAGCGUGGAGAGGCACCACCCGUUGAAGCACCCGCGGUAGGACCGCCGCUCCCAGCCCACCCUCCUCCGGCCGUUCAAGGACACCCGGUAGCCGCAGAGGGUGAUGUAGCAGCAGAAGCAGUGCGAGAUGGUCGCCGACGGGUGGUUGCUCCGCGACGGGUACCUCGACGUGGGACAGAUGAGGUACAAGUAGCGGUGCGGCAGGCGGCGGUCGGAGCGGACCCGCCGGUAGAUGCCGUCGAAGCUGCGGCAGCGCGCGUGGAAGAAGAAGUACCGCGAGAAGGAGAUGUACAGGGAGCAGCACGCGUAGUUGAAGAAGGCACCGAAGGCCAAGAGGUAGCGCACCACCAGCAUGUGCAAGGGGUACUGCUGCCGCAGCGACCGGUGGCAGUUCAUGCGGCUCCGGCACGGCACGAAGUGCUCGUCUCGGGACCGCGACUCGGAGAGGGAGUACAGCUGCUGGUACCACAGCGACGACGAGCACAGCUGCGAGGACGUACGAAAGAUGACCGCGAGCGACAAGGGGUUGCUGGAGCGGUAGCGGU